AGCAGAUGUUAGCUCAGGACUAAUCUCCCAGAAAAAGAAAAAGUUCUAGUUCCCAAUAAGAUGAAGUAGGCACCCUUCUCCCAGGUUCUCCCUCUGAAUACAGCUGUGAAAUCUGGAUUAAAUGCAUAGAACAGCAAUUUGAUGACUCGGAAAUGUAAUUGGUGGCAAGCAGAUUGGAGAUGACCAGAACUGAAAUAUCAUCAGUCUGACAGUUUGCUAUGUUUCACCCUCCAGAGGUAAACACUGCUUAGCCUUGGACAGGAGUAUAGCCACAGAAGUGUGUGGCAAGCUGCAGUAACUAAAGGCCCAGAAAUAGAGGAUUGAAAAGGGGAGUCCCAAGGAACAUACUGAGCGGAUUGGGGAGAAGGAGGAGCCAGGAUAGUACCUUUGACCCAGCAACUGAACUUCAAAGAAUUUAUUUUAAAGAAUUAAAUCUAAUCAGAUAAGUAUACAAAACUACAAAUUUAAAUAUAUUUACUAAAGCAUUAUUGGCAAGUGUGUAAGAUUAGAAAUAACUGAAAUGUUCAAUAAGCAUUUUAAUGAAAUACAGCUCAGCCGUCUAAAUGAUGUUAGAGAGCAGUGAUUCUAAGGAGAGUGCCCCCUCCUUAAAAACCACUCUUGUUCAACGCCUGGUACUCCUGAGAGGGUGUCAGCUUUCGCAGGGAUGUUAGGUCAGGAAAAAAGUUGAAAGUAACUAUGUAAGAGAAUAAGACGAGAAAUUUACUUUAUAAUGUUUAAUGAAAAACAUCAGAUUAUAAAACCAUUUGUAAAAUAUUAUCCCUUUUUGUUUUAAUAGAUAACCAUUCUUCCCCAAAAUGUUUCCACUGGUUACCCCUUUGUAGUAUGAUUAUGGCUUGUUCAGUUUGGGACUUUUAUUUCUAUUUGAUUAGGCUUCUAUAAUAAAUUUUACUACAUAAUAA